GGCGCAUUGGUGUAGCUGGUUAACACGCCGCCCUCUCAAGGCGGAGAUCACGGGUUCGAGUCCCGUAUGCGCUG
rnacentral:tRNA from 1 species